AUACGUAGGGGGCAAGCGUUAUCCGGAAUUAUUGGGCGUAAAGAGUGCGUAGGUGGUUACCUAAGCGCAAGGUUUAAUAUAUCGGCUUAACUGAUAUCUGCCUUGCGAACUGGGCUACUUGAGUGCAGGAGGGGAAAGCGGAAUUCCUAGUGUAGCGGUGAAAUGCGUAGAUAUUAGGAGGAACACCGGCGGCGAAGGCGGCUUUCUGGGAUGUAAGUGACUCUGAGGCACGAACGCGGGGGCAACAAACAGGAUUAGAUACCCUGGUAGUCCACGCCGUAAACGAUGAGCACUAGCUGUUGGGGCCGAAUGGUCUCAGUGGCGCAGGUAACGCAAUAAGUGCUCCGCCUGGGGAGUUCGCGCGCAAGCGUAAAACUCACAUGAAUUGACGGGG
rnacentral:rRNA from 1 species